UCUCUAUCCGUUCUUAACAACUGUGCGCCAAACGCGGCAACGGAAUUGUUAAUUAGUCGUCACUAAAGAAAUAUUUCAAACGAAUUUAAACGGUAGCCAGUGUAAAAAAUGGCGGAUCAAUGCACGUGAGGCGGGGAGAAUGCGUAGGGACAGUUCCGAAAUCCAGUUCCCCAGGAGGUAACGGGUCAGUAACGCGAUCGUAAUAGCGAGAAAUCGUGCAUCGAUCGAAUCGUAAGGGGGAUGUCUCAUGAAAAUUUGAUCUUUGUGUUUUGUUCCAACGUUCGUAUCGAGCCACCCCUCGAAUGGACAAACGUCAAUAAAACAGCGCAUGCGCUAUACCGGUUUCUAUAUUUCUCCGCCACCGUUCUCUUUCGUGCCCCGUUUCUCUGAUUUUCAAUUUAUUUAUCUUUGUCGGUGAACAAUAUAUAUAUGAAACGAGACGAAUCAAUGGUACAAUGGUAAAAAGAUCUAAAGUGGAAAUACUUCUCGUGAUCCACUUUCUAUUUUUUAAGAAUAAUAUUGUUUAGGAGUCAAUAGAAUAUUCUUCGUAAAGGUUAAAUUGUUCAUUGACUCCGUUAUAAAUUAACCGUUAUAAAUUGAAUCGUAACGAUUUAUUAGAAUGAUAUAUCGUCGAAGAAUUUGAUGUUUUUGCUCGUAAACUGUUUGUAUUAUGCAACAGAUAAUGUACGAGGAGUGGACAGGUCUCGUCACGGAUCAUUGAACCGAAGAAUGAAUUAAUAAGCAAAGGGAUAGACUCGCCUUCUAGGGAAUUUAAUUUCACUAUAUUUUUUUCGUUCCAAUUAUUAGAGAGAAAUAUAGAGAUCACGUCAAAAAUGAUGAUUGCGAGAAUAUAUCAUUCUUUUUUCUAUUUCUGUCUGCAUCGGUUCAAUUUAAAUAAAUUUAAACCCAGACGAAAUUGUCCCUGUUCCAUUCUUUCAUCAGUGGAUCUGGUCUGGUUGUUUAGACAUUUGAUCAGAAUGAUGAGACUAACAUGUGCACAGGAUGAAGUCACCGCUUUAAUACACUUAACGUUAAUAAGAAACUCGAGUGGGUCGAAUUGACCUCUAUUUAUUAAUCCAACACCAUCGACCCGUUCGUCAUAUGUAUUUGUAUGCCCCUUUUAUUUCCGAGAAUCUCUCAGGCGUGCAAUACUAUAUGAAAAAAAUUAUCGAAUCAACUUGUGAUCGAUAAGAAUAAUUAAGAAGGAGAAAAAAAAAAACAAACUUUUAAAGGCUGCCAACGAACCAUGAAGUGUUCGAUUUCAAUGGUAAUUAAACCUAAUCAAUUCGUUCAAGUUCGGCAUGAUCGAUUAUCCGUGAUCGUAGGAAAUAAUUUAAUUAAUCGAACGACCGUACGAGAGAAAAAAUUAUAUAAGAUAAAUCAAAUAUAUUUGCAAUUUGUUCUAUAUUAUCUGAUCGUAAUUGUUUAUAAAUCGGAAGUCUGAAAAAGCCCCAUUGAUAAGAUCUCUUUCACGGGUGUCGAUUCCACGCGGAAAUUCAUUUCCUUAGAAUGGGUGCAUUGUUAUCGAAACGAGUUAAACUGUGUUUACAAUAGAUCGAGGGGCUUAUCUAUACGGUCUAUGGCUGUACACUAUACGAGGCACGGGAUACGCCUACGAGAGUCGAAUGAUUCACA
rnacentral:lncRNA from 1 species